rnacentral:rRNA from 1 species
CCUUGUAAUUGGAAUGAUGGUGACCCAAACCCUCACCAGAGUAGCAAUUGGAGGGCAAGUCUGGUGCCAGCAGCCGCGGUAAUUCCAGCUCCAAUAGCGUAUAUUAAACUUGUUGCAGUUAAAAAGCUCGUAGUUGUAUUUUUGCGUUAGCGGUUUGACCAUUUGGUUGGUUAUUUCGUUUUCGCUUUUGGGAAUUUCCCUUUUUACUUUGAGAAAAUUAGAGUGUUUCAAGCAGACUUUUGUCUUGAAUACUUCAGCAUGGAAUAAUAGAGUAGGACUUUGGUUCUAUUUUGUUGGUUAUUGAACCUUAGUAAUGGUUAAUAGGAACGGUUGGGGGCAUUCGUAUUUAACUGUCAGAGGUGAAAUUCUUAGAUUUGUUAAAGACGAACUACUGCGAAAGCAUUUGCCAAGGACGUUUCCAUUAAUCAAGAACGAAAGUUAGGGGAUCGAAGACGAUCAGAUACCGUCGUAGUCCUAACCAUAAACUAUGCCGACUAGU